rnacentral:snRNA from 1 species
AUCGCUUUUCGGCCUUUUGGCUAAGAUAAAAGGGUAGUAUCUGUUCUUUUCAGCUUAAUAUCUGAAAGUUGCCUCAUUGAGGGACCAGUAUAUUAAAAUAAUUUUUGUAAAACCAAACACGCAAAUUCAU